rnacentral:rRNA from 1 species
CUUGGUCAUUUAGAGGNAGUAAAAGUCGUAACAAGGUUUCCGUAGGUGAACCUGCGGAAGGAUCAUUCAUAAUAAGUGUUUUAUGGCACUUUUUUAAAUCCAUAUCCACCUUGUGUGCAAUGUCAGGGUUGAUUUUCUCUCGAGAGGAUCAANCCCCAAACAUCAACUAUUAUCUCAACUCUUUGUCUGAAAAAUAUUAUGAAUAAAACAAUUCAAAAUACAACUUUCAACAACGGAUCUCUUGGCUCUCGCAUCGAUGAAGAACGCAGCGAAAUGCGAUACGUAAUGUGAAUUGCAGAAUUCAGUGAAUCAUCGAAUCUUUGAACGCAUAUUGCGCUCUUUGGUAUUCCGAAGAGCAUGCUUGUUUGAGUAUCAGUAAACACCUCAAAGCCUUUUUUUGUUAAGAGACUUUGGACUUGAGCAAUCCCAACACUUCUUUUUUUUAGAAGGGGCGGGUUGCUUGAAAUGCAGGUGCAGCUGGACAUUCUCCUGAGCUAAAAGCAUAUUCAUUUAGUCCCGUCAAACGGAUUAUUACUUUUUGCUGCAGCUAAUAUAAAGGGAGUUUGACCAUUUUGGCUGACUGAUGCAGGAUUUUCACAAGAGUCUUCAAACCACUCUUGUUAAACUCGAUCUCAAAUCAAGUAAGACUACCCGCUGAACUUAAGCAUAUCAAUAAGCGGAGGA